CUGUAAAAGAAUUUGCUCAAGUUCCUCUGUCAUCUCGACUGCUCAGUGCUAUCACCGUCGGUCAAUCGGUUAACGCUAAUAUUUCUAUUAAACCUGUCGAGAUAAUGCGAGUUGUCCUUUCGCGGAGGGGUUUAUCAACGGUGUCCCCAAGUAUGCUAAGUUACACCUGUCAAAUAUGUAAACAACUCCUCUGUGUCCAGCUAUAAUCGCUAGCUACCGAGUUUUCCGUGAAAGUUCAGUUUAAAAAUAGUCGGAUCCGUGUGAAGUUAUCGAGCCGGGAAGCAGAGUUUGACAGAUUCGAGCCUCCUGCUCGGUCUGGUCCGUUAAUACUUCAACUGCCAGCACGCGGGGCAGAACCGGCCAGGAGUUCCAUGUGAGUUCAGUUAAAGGGACCUGCAGCCGUCAGCGUUUUCAGCGUCAUGGAAACAAACAGCGCCCCAACCGGAGAGGAGGGCACGGUACAAACAUUAUAAACCGUAUUUUAGUCAAUUUAGUCAAUUUACUCAUUUUACAUACAAAACAAGUGUUUGGGCAGCAAAAACUGCUGCACAAAACUCCACCCACUACUCAGGCAAAGAAAAUGGCUCACAGACCUCAAGACGAUUUCGCCAAUCGACCUGAAACUUUGGCAGGAUCAUC